rnacentral:rRNA from 1 species
GAUGAACGCUGGCUACAGGCUUAACACAUGCAAGUCGAGGGGAAACGCCGGGGAAGCUUGCUUCCCCGGGCGUCGACCGGCGCACGGGUGAGUAACGCGUAUCCAACCUGCCUCUGACUGAGGGAUAACCCGUCGAAAGUCGGCCUAAUACCUCAUGGCAUCGUCUGCGGGCAUCCAACGACGACUAAAGAUUUCAUCUGUCAUAGAUGGGGAUGCGUCUGAUUAGCUUGUUGGCGGGGUAACGGCCCACCAAGGCGACGAUCAGUAGGGGUUCUGAGAGGAAGGUCCCCCACAUUGGAACUGAGACACAGUCCAAACUCCUACGGGAGGCAGCAGUGAGGAAGACUGGUCAAUGGGCGAGAGCCUGAACCAGCCAAGUAGCGUGCAGGAGGACGGCCCUAUGGGUUGUAAACUGCUUUUAGGCGGGGAUAAAGUGAGGGACGUGUCCUUCAUUGCAGGUACCGCAUGAAUAAGAACCGGCUAAUUCCGUG